GCCCGGUAAGCUCAGUCGGUAGAGCACCAGACUCUUCAUCUGGCUAUCGCAGGUUCGAGCCCCGCACCGUGCU